GUCUCCUAUCAUAUACACAGACUACACAAAUCAAGCAGAAGAAUGCAACUGUGUUGAAAGACCUGCAGCAGAAGACUUGAUGAUGUAUGCAUGUAGUAAUGACUCUCAGUGGCAGAGCACAUCUAUGCCAGUCUACAGCUUGGAAAAUCAGCAAUACUCAGUAUGUGAACGGAAGGCAAGAAUGGGAUUUAACCCGAUGAACCUGGAAGCAUCUUUAUACAACGAGAUAUCCCUGUGAAAACAUGGUGGAUGAGGAUAGAACACGCACAUCUCGAAAGAAAUCUCCAUUUUCCAAACACAAAUGAACAAGGAACUUAUUAUUCUAAAUAUUAUUUGAUGACCUAAUACUUAGGUGGAUUUAAAUAGUUUACUUAUGAAAUUGU